GGGGGGGGGGGGGGGGGGGGGGGGGGGGGGGGGGGGGAGGGGGGGGGGGGGGCGGGGGGGGGGGGCUGGGGGGGCGGAGGGGGGGGGAACACGUGAGUAACCGGCCCUUGACUUUGGGAUAACUUCAGGAAACUGGGGCUAAUACCGGAUAGGAGCUCCUGCUGCAUGGUGGGGGUUGGAAAGUUUCGGCGGUUGGGGAUGGACUCGCGGCUUAUCAGCUUGUUGGUGGGGUAGUGGCUUACCAAGGCUUUGACGGGUAGCCGGCCUGAGAGGGUGACCGGCCACAUUGGGACUGAGAUACGGCCCAGACUCCUACGGGAGGCAGCAGUGGGGAAUAUUGCACAAUGGGCGGAAGCCUGAUGCAGCAACGCCGCGUGCGGGAUGACGGCCUUCGGGUUGUAAACCGCUUUCGCCUGUGACGAAGCGUGAGUGACGGUAAUGGGUAAAGAAGCACCGGCUAACUACGUG
rnacentral:rRNA from 1 species